AGUGAACGCUGGCGGUAGGCCUAACACAUGCAAGUCGAACGGCAGCACAGUAAGAGCUUGCUCUUACGGGUGGCGAGUGGCGGACGGGUGAGGAAUACAUCGUAAUCUACUUUUUCGUGGGGGAUCACGUAGGUAAACUUACGCUAAUACCUCAUACGACCUACGGGGGAAAGCAGGGGAUCUUUGUGCCUUGCGCUAUUGAAUGAGCCGAUGGCGCAUUAGCUGGUUGGCGGGGUAAAGGCCCACCAAGGCGACGAUCCGUAGCUGGUCUGAGAGGAUGAUCAGCCACACUGGAACUGAGACACGGUCCAGACUCCUACGGGAGGCAGCAGUGGGGAAUAUUGGACAAUGGGCGCAAGCCUGAUCCAGCCAUACCGCGUGGGUGAAGAAGGCCUUCGGGUUGUAAAGCCCUUUUGUUGGGAAAGAAAAGCAGCAGGUUAAUACCCCGCUGUUCUGACGGUACCCAAAGAAUAAGCACCGGCUAACUUCGUG
rnacentral:rRNA from 1 species